GACAAAAGAAAGUUUACCACGUGAUUAGAAAAACAGGCGUAUGUUAUUUCAUUUUUGAAGUUGUUGUUUUGAGAAAAAUUACCUUUUUAAUGAUAAGAAGCCAGAUGUUAAAUUAGAUAAAGCUGUACGGCGUUUUAAAGGAGGAGAAAAAUCUGCCGAAUAACCGUUAGAAGAUCGUUGUCGCAGAAGCAGGAGGACCCAGACACUAGGGAUCGCGGAAGCAACAUUAUCUUCGCAAAUACUUUAAGGGUCUUAAAUUUUUGACAAGGCAGUACUAUUUGAGGUUUAUUCUAUGUUUUAUUUUUUACAUGGGACUUUUCUAUUAAAAGUUUAAGUCGCGCGCGUUCUGUGACGCCAGGCGGUUGCCGCUACCGCUAACUAGCGGCUAGCAAGCAAGCUAGCUAGCUUUUUCUGCAUCGAUCAAGGGGCCUGCGUUUCUCUGCAUAACACUGGGAAUCAAAGCCAGGACAACCGCAAUGAGGACUGCAACUUCUAUACCAACCGAGUAAUUUCUUCUGACCCACACAGCUCCUGUACCUCAUCUCCCUCAGGAUGGCCUGAACCUCCCUGAUCUUCGCCUCCUGCCCCUCCACAUCCCAAUCGCCCUCCGUUUCGUUUCGGGACUGGUUCGCCAAGUGCAGUAUCGCUGCAGACAGAAGCAGAUGAUGGUAAAACAAUCCGCCGUCUGUGGCCGUGUUUUGGGGAUAAACAGGCGUUUCUCUCACC